rnacentral:lncRNA from 1 species
GCACGAGCUCCCGUCCGUAGAGAGCCGCGCGGCCAAUCAGCGCGCGGGCUGCUCGGGGGUGAGUGGCACGAGCUUAUUAGUAUGCAGGGCCCGUGGCUGGCCGCGCCGGGCUGCAGGCUUGAGAGCCGCUCUGGAUGGGCUCGCUAGAGUCGUUGUUGUGGAAGCGGUGCAUUUACAGUGCAACAGUCAGCACAUUGAAAAUACCAAUAGGAAUACAAAACAAAGUCACAUUUACUGAUUUAAUUGUAUUGCAUUCAAUUGUAUCCAGGAAACAGCCUCCAACCAUGGACCUGCACGGCGGCCACCGGCUUGGCGCUCGGCCGCCCGCGGAGAAGCCCUGUCCGCCGGCGUGCUGACUGGCACGCCGCCCCUGCCGCCAGUGACCCCGGACACCGCCUCCUCCGUGCCACUCGCGCGCCGCCCGCGCGCCCAGCCGCCCCCGGGCCCCGGCCACGCUGCUCCCGGGAGGUGGCGGCUGGCCGGGGCCGGGGCCGGGCAUGGAUGGCCGCGACUUUGCACCGCCGCCGCAUCUGCUGUCGGAGCGCGGGAGCCUGGGCCAUCGCGGCGCCGCGGCCGCGCGCCUCGCCCCGUCUGGUCCCGCCACGCAGCCGUCAGCGCACUUCCAGCCGGGGAAAUACUUCCCAUCGCCUCUGCCCAUGGCUUCGCACACAGAACUGAAUACCAAGGGAACCUCGUUUUUGCAUCCUGCACUCACCUCCUUAGGAUGCUCCGGGGCUAGGACUUCGAAGAGCUGUCCUCCGCGGGAACCAAAAGGCUGUGUGGCUGGGGGAGGGGGUCCGGGCGCCCGGCAGGCUCGGCGGAUUAGGGCAGCGUGCACAGGGCGAGCGCUAAUGGGGACUGCUGGUGUAAGACGAGAAAAUCCUGUUUCUAUAUAAAGCCUUGAAGUGUCAGGGCGAGAAUGGGUUUGCAGGGGAUGCGUUUGCUUUAACAAGUGCCUCUGGUAUCUUGCUAAAGCCGGACAAAGCGUGGCCAGAGUAAGGCCAGCAAGCAGCCCGCGCCUAGGGAGGGCAGCGCCGUGCCGCCUCGCUCCAGAUUUCGGUGCAGGCGAGUGCGUGGUGAGUGUGCGCCCGAGAGGAGACAGUCUGGGGCAGCCCGCGGGCGCCCGACUUGCCGGCUCUGUGGGCCCGAAAGGUCUGCCCUUGGCAGAGCCCACCCAGGCCUACGGAGUAGCUCAUUUGGGGCGUUGAUCCUGGCGUUGGGGGAGGUCCGGGAGAAGGGCCACCUCUACACUCGUCUCCCCGGGAGGACUUCGGGGAAGCGCAAGAGUCUAUGCGGGGACCUACUGGUCACCCCGCAGGUCGGGUUGCUUUUGUUUACUGUUUGUUAUAAAGAUCAGAAAUGUGGUUUGCAGCUUUUCUUCUUUAUAUUUGCCAGUAACAGUUAUUAUUGGUAGCUUGAUGAACUGUGAAUACUAAUAAAAUUAUAUCUGCUUUAAUGGGAUUACAAUUAGUGUGUGGAUUAAAACGGAUGGCAGAGACAGGGUUAGAAGGGAAAACGUAGGAAGGGAAGGCAGUCAAAAAAAAAAGCGUACAUUUCCUUUUUUAAAAAAUUCAAAAUUGCUUAAUUACUAAGGGGCUACCAGCAUGUACGGCUCAAGGGGCUUUUGCACACUCACGCGGCUCGUGCUCCCUGCCGGGUCAGCUCCGCGCUGCCCAUUCCUUUUCCAGCUGGAGCCUCUGGCCAGACUGCCCUGUUCUCUCCAUAUCUCUUCCUUUCUUCUUUUUCUCCCUUUCUCUUUUCCUCUAGAUUUAUAACUGGAAAGAGAAA